rnacentral:rRNA from 1 species
GACGAACGCUGGCGGCGUGCUUAACACAUGCAAGUCGAACGGAAAGGCCCUGCUUUUGUGGGGUGCUCGAGUGGCGAACGGGUGAGUAACACGUGAGUAACCUGCCCUUGACUUUGGGAUAACUUCAGGAAACUGGGGCUAAUACCGGAUAGGAGCUCCUGCUGCAUGGUGGGGGUUGGAAAGUUUCGGCGGUUGGGGAUGGACUCGCGGCUUAUCAGCUUGUUGGUGGGGUAGUGGCUUACCAAGGCUUUGACGGGUAGCCGGCCUGAGGGGGUGACCGGCCACAUUGGGACUGAGAUACGGCCCGGACUCCUACGGGAGGCAGCAGUGGGGAAUAUUGCACAAUGGGCGGAAGCCUGAUGCAGCAACGCCGCGUGCGGGAUGACGGCCUUCGGGUUGUAAACCGCUUUCGCCUGUGACGAAGCGUGAGUGACGGUAAUGGGUAAAGAAGCACCGGCUAACUACGUG